rnacentral:rRNA from 1 species
GAUGAACGCUGGCGGCGUGCCUAAUACAUGCAAGUCGAGCGAACGGACGAGAAGCUUGCUUCUCUGAUGUUAGCGGCGGACGGGUGAGUAACACGUGGAUAACCUACCUAUAAGACUGGGAUAACUUCGGGAAACCGGAGCUAAUACCGGAUAAUGUUUUGAACCGCAUGGUUCAAAAGUGAAAGACGGUCUUGCUGUCACUUAUAGAUGGAUCCGCGCUGCAUUAGCUAGUUGGUAAGGUAACGGCUUACCAAGGCAACGAUGCAUAGCCGACCUGAGAGGGUGAUCGGCCACACUGGAACUGAGACACGGUCCAGACUCCUACGGGAGGCAGCAGUAGGGAAUCUUCCGCAAUGGGCGAAAGCCUGACGGAGCAACGCCGCGUGAGUGAUGAAGGUCUUCGGAUCGUAAAACUCUGUUAUUAGGGAAGAACAUAUGUGUAAGUAACUGUGCACAUCUUGACGGUACCUAAUCAGAAAGCCACGGCUAACUACGUGCCAGCAGCCGCGGUAAUACGUAGGUGGCAAGCGUUAUCCGGAAUUAUUGGGCGUAAAGCGCGCGUAGGCGGUUUUUUAAGUCUGAUGUGAAAGCCCACGGCUCAACCGUGGAGGGUCAUUGGAAACUGGAAAACUUGAGUGCAGAAGAGGAGAGUGGAAUUCCAUGUGUAGCGGUGAAAUGCGCAGAGAUAUGGAGGAACACCAGUGGCGAAGGCGACUUUCUGGUCUGUAACUGACGCUGAUGUGCGAAAGCGUGGGGAUCAAACAGGAUUAGAUACCCUGGUAGUCCACGCCGUAAACGAUGAGUGCUAAGUGUUAGGGGGUUUCCGCCCCUUAGUGCUGCAGCUAACGCAUUAAGCACUCCGCCUGGGGAGUACGACCGCAAGGUUGAAACUCAAAGGAAUUGACGGGGACCCGCACAAGCGGUGGAGCAUGUGGUUUAAUUCGAAGCAACGCGAAGAACCUUACCAAAUCUUGACAUCCUUUGACAACUCUAGAGAUAGAGCCUUCCCCUUCGGGGGACAAAGUGACAGGUGGUGCAUGGUUGUCGUCAGCUCGUGUCGUGAGAUGUUGGGUUAAGUCCCGCAACGAGCGCAACCCUUAAGCUUAGUUGCCAUCAUUAAGUUGGGCACUCUAAGUUGACUGCCGGUGACAAACCGGAGGAAGGUGGGGAUGACGUCAAAUCAUCAUGCCCCUUAUGAUUUGGGCUACACACGUGCUACAAUGGACAAUACAAAGGGCAGCGAAACCGCGAGGUCAAGCAAAUCCCAUAAAGUUGUUCUCAGUUCGGAUUGUAGUCUGCAACUCGACUACAUGAAGCUGGAAUCGCUAGUAAUCGUAGAUCAGCAUGCUACGGUGAAUACGUUCCCGGGUCU